GACGAACGCUGGCGGCGUGCUUAACACAUGCAAGUCGAACGGAAAGGCCCUGCUUUUUUGGUGUGCUCGAUUGGCGAUCGGGUGUGUAACACGUGAGUAACCUGCCCUUGACUUUGUGAUAACUUCAGGAAACUGGGGCUAAUACCGGAUAGGAGCUCCUGCUGCUUGGUGGUGGUUGGAAAGUUUCGGCGGUUGGGGAUGGACUCGCUGCUUAUCAGCUUGUUGGUGGGGUAGUGGCUUACCAAGGCUUUGACGGGUAGCCGGCCUGAGAGGGUGACCGGCGACAUUGGGACUGAGAUACGGCGCAGACGGCAACGGGAGGCAGCAGUGGGGAAUAUUGCAGAAUGGGAGGAAGCAUGAUGCAGAAACGGCGCGUGCGGGAAGACGGCGAACGGGUUGUAAACAGCAUGAGCCUGAGACGAAGCGUGAGUGACGGUAAUGGGUAAAGAAGCACCGGCUAACUACGUG
rnacentral:rRNA from 1 species